CAGUAGCCGCGGUAAAACGAAGGGUGCAAGCGUUAAUCGGAAUUACUGGGCGUAAAGCGUGCGUAGGCGGUUUGUUAAGUCUGCUGUGAAAUCCCCGGGCUCAACCUGGGAAUGGCAGUGGAUACUGGCAAGCUAGAGUGUGUCAGAGGAUGGUGGAAUUCCCGGUGUAGCGGUGAAAUGCGUAGAGAUCGGGAGGAACAUCAGUGGCGAAGGCGGCCAUCUGGGACAACACUGACGCUGAGGCACGAAAGCGUGGGGAGCAAACAGGAUUAGAUACCCCGGUAGUCCCUGUCUCUUAUAC
rnacentral:rRNA from 1 species